UACGUAGGGGGCUAGCGUUGUCCGGAAUCAUUGGGCGUAAAGCGCGUGUAGGCGGUUCGAUAAGUCUGCUGUGAAAGUCCAGGGCUCAACCCUGGGAUGCCGGUGGAUACUGUCGAGCUAGAGUACGGAAGAGGCGAGUGGAAUUCCCGGUGUAGCGGUGAAAUGCGCAGAUAUCGGGAGGAACACCAAUUGCGAAGGCAGCUCGCUGGGACGUCACUGACGCUAAGACGCGAAAGCGUGGGGAGCAAACAGGG
rnacentral:rRNA from 1 species